GGCCCCGUAGUUCAAUGGAUAGAAUAGAAGUUUCCUAAACUUUUGAUCCCAGUUCGAUUCUGGGCGGGGCUA
rnacentral:tRNA from 1 species